rnacentral:rRNA from 1 species
GACGGAACGCUGGCGGCGUGCCUAACACAUGCAAGUCGAACGGAAGUAAGUGCUUCGGUAUUUACUUUAGUGGCGAACGGGUGAGUAACGCGUGAGGAACCUGCCUUUCAGUGGGGGACAACAGUUGGAAACGACUGCUAAUACCGCAUGACGCUUCUUAGGGGCAUCCCUGAGAAGUCAAAGCUUUAUGUGCUGAAAGAUGGCCUCGCGUCUGAUUAGCUAGUUGGUGGGGUAACGGCCCACCAAGGCGACGAUCAGUAGCCGGUCUGAGAGGAUGAACGGCCACAUUGGGACUGAGAUACGGCCCAG